GCCUUCGUGGUGUAGUGGCACGCUCGACAGGUAACCGAGAGGUCCGUGGUUCGAUUCCCGGCGAACGCG
rnacentral:tRNA from 1 species